UGGGGGCCCGUCGCGUUGGCCCAUAGGGGUUUCGUCCGUCGGGGAGCCUGCCGCCACUCCAAGAAGCCCGAUCUGCGCCGCCGCGGGUGGCUGCUCGUCGGGGAGCCGGCCCCACGCCACUGCUCCCGCGGGGGACAUGACGUCGAGGGCCCGGCACGCGCCGCUAGGGCCUCAUCCAUGACGCUGGGCGGCGACCGCCGUCGCCAUUGCCGGGUCCGGUGUUGUCGAAUCGCCUCCCAUUGGCGCAGUCUGCCCUCCCGGGGCCCGCGUGCUGCCGCUACAUG
rnacentral:lncRNA from 1 species